rnacentral:pre_miRNA from 14 species
CGGUUAAUAACCGUGGAACCGAUCUUGAAAUUCGAAUAUUCAAGAUCGGUUCCAUGGUUAUUGGCCGA